CAGGAGUAAAGGUGGCCUCUUCAUGAAAGCUACCGUGUAGGGAUGAGCCUGCGUACCAUUAGCUAGUAGGUGGGGUAAUGGCCCACCUAGGCUACGAUGGUUAGCGGGUCUGAGAGGAUGAUCCGCCACACUGGAACUGAACACGGACCAG
rnacentral:rRNA from 1 species